rnacentral:rRNA from 1 species
UACGAAGGGGGCUAGCGUUGUUCGGAAUUACUGGGCGUAAAGCGCACGUAGGCGGAUACUUAAGUCAGUGGUGAAAUCCCGGGGCUCAACCCCGGAACUGCCUUUGAUACUGGGUAUCUCGAGUCCGGAAGAGGUGAGUGGAAUUCCGAGUGUAGAGGUGAAAUUCGUAGAUAUUCGGAGGAACACCAGUGGCGAAGGCGGCUCGCUGGUCCGGUACUGACGCUGAGGUGCGAAAGCGUGGGGAGCAAACAGG